CCCGGGCCUUGUACACACCGCCCGUCACGUCAUGGGAGCCGGUAACACCUGAAGUCGGUGGGCGAACCCUUCGGGGACGCAGCCGCCGAGGGUGGGACUGGUGACUGGGACG
rnacentral:rRNA from 1 species